AGAGUUUGAUCGUGGCUCAGAUUGAACGCUGGCGGCAUGCCUUACACAUGCAAGUCGAACGGUAACAGGUCCUCGGACGCUGACGAGUGGCGAACGGGUGAGUAAUACAUCGGAACGUGCCCAGUCGUGGGGGAUAACUACUCGAAAGAGUAGCUAAUACCGCAUACGAUCUGAGGAUGAAAGCGGGGGACCUUCGGGCCUCGCGCGAUUGGAGCGGCCGAUGGCAGAUUAGGUAGUUGGUGGGAUAAAAGCUUACCAAGCCGACGAUCUGUAGCUGGUCUGAGAGGACGACCAGCCACACUGGGACUGAGACACGGCCCAGACUCCUACGGGAGGCAGCAGUGGGGAAUUUUGGACAAUGGGCGAAAGCCUGAUCCAGCAAUGCCGCGUGCAGGAUGAAGGCCUUCGGGUUGUAAACUGCUUUUGUACGGAACGAAAAAGCUUUCUCCUAAUACGAGAGGCCCAUGACGGUACCGUAAGACUAAGUUCCCGGCUAUCUACGUGCUAGCAGCCGCGGUA
rnacentral:rRNA from 1 species